GAUGAACGCUGGCGGCGUGCCUAAUACAUGCAAGUCGAGCGAACAGACGAGGAGCUUGCUCCUCUGACGUUAGCGGCGGACGGGUGAGUAACACGUGGAUAACCUACCUAUAAGACUGGGAUAACUUCGGGAAACCGGAGCUAAUACCGGAUAAUAUAUUGAACCGCAUGGUUCAAUAGUGAAAGACGGUUUUGCUGUCACUUAUAGAUGGAUCCGCGCCGCAUUAGCUAGUUGGUAAGGUAACGGCUUACCAAGGCAACGAUGCGUAGCCGACCUGAGAGGUUGAUCGGCCACACUGGAACUGAGACACGGUCCAGACUCCUACGGGAGGCAGCAGUAGGAAUCUUCCGCAAUGGGCGAAAGCUUGACGGAGCAACGCCGCGUGAGUGAUGAAGGUCUUCGGAUCGUAAAACUCUGUUAUUAGGGAAGAACAAAUGUGUAAGUAACUAUGCACGUCUUGACGGUACCUAAUCAGAAAGCCACGGCUAACUACGUG
rnacentral:rRNA from 1 species